UACGUAGGGUGCGAGCGUUAAUCGGAAUUACUGGGCGUAAAGCGUGCGCAGGCGGUUUUGUAAGCCCGAUGUGAAAUCCCCGGGCUUAACCUGGGAAUGGCAUUUGGGACUGCAAGGCUCGAGUGCGGCAGAGGAGACUGGAAUUCCUGGUGUAGCAGUGAAAUGCGUAGAUAUCAGGAGGAACACCGAUGGCGAAGGCAGGUCUCUGGGCUGACACUGACGCUGAGGCGCGAAAGCUAGGGGAGCGAACGGG
rnacentral:rRNA from 1 species